UACGACUACAUAUCAGGCAUAUCAAUAAGCGGAGGAAAAGAAACUAACUAGGAUUCCCUUAGUAACGGCGAGUGAAGCGGGAAGAGCUCAAAUUUGAAAUCUUCAAGGUUCUACCUUGACGAAUUGUAGUUUAAAGAAGUGUUUUCUGUUGGAGUUUUGGUAAAAGUUCUUUGGAAUAGGACAUCAUAGAGGGUGAGAAUCCCGUAUUUGACCAUUUCUUCCAGCUGUGUGAUACACUUUCAAAGAGUCGGAUUGUUUGGGAAUGCAGUCCAAAAUGGGUGGUAAAUUUCGUCUAAAGCUAAAUAUUGGCGAGAGACCGAUAGCGAACAAGUACCGUGAGGGAAAGAUGAAAAGAACUUUGAAAAGAGAGUUAAACAGUACGUGAAAUUGUCAAAAGGGAAGCGUUUGACACCAGUGUUGUUUUCUCGAAAAUCAAUUAAAAAUGACCGGAUUUUGUGUUGUAUUGACUUUAUCAGCUUUCUGCACUUUUUUCUUGUCUUUUUUAAUGCACUUUUCGUUUAACAAGUCAACAUCAAUUUCUUUUGUUGUAAAAGAGUCAUUGGAAGGUGGCUUUCACUUCGGUGAAAGUGUUUAUAGCCUUUGACUUCUGCAAUCGGAGAGAUUGAGGUCUGCAGCGUAGAUCCUUCGGGGUUAGAUACAUUAGAUGCUAAGUUAUAGUUUUUCAUAGACAACAUUGUUGACUAUGAUUAAUCAUGUAGCUUACUCGUUAUGCCUAAUUCUACCUACGCUUAGGAUGUUGACGCGCGUGUGUGCGUG
rnacentral:rRNA from 1 species